ACUGAAAUUUAGCUUGGGUCAAUUACCAACCCCUAUGAAAGCUGAACUUUUGUUUUCUUUUGUGCUGCCACUCACCUCAACAAGUUCAAUGGUGGUGCUGCUGGCCACCGCCGACUUGACAGCACCGCUCCCAGUUCCUGCACCUCCUCCUCCUGCUAAGGCGCCUGCAAUGACCGACCCUCCAGCGGCAUUAAUGGGUAGCACAAUGCCCUUGGAGGACGAGGACUUGCGCAGCGGCGUCAUCUUGAUGCGGGUUUUGGCCAUCUCCUGGCGUUGGCUAAAGUGUCUGGAGCAGAUGCGCAGCUUUUGGAGGCCGCCGAGUUGAUCCACCAGUUUAUAGCUGACGCCAAAGUGACGCAGCCAAUGAUUGCAGCUGCACGUAAAUAAGAAAAAUAAGAUAUAACGACU
ensembl:ncRNA asRNA:CR45867 antisense RNA:CR45867